GGCUCCAUAGUGUAGUGGUUAGCAUGUCUGCUUUACAUGUGGAAGGUUCUGGGUGGAGCCA
rnacentral:tRNA from 1 species